rnacentral:lncRNA from 1 species
CACUUUUCUGCAUCGGCCAAUCAGAGUUCUGUUGCCGAGGCUUCGACGGCCAACUGAUGUUGCUGUGGAGACGACGAAAUGUUGAGCACUCACAAACCCAUUAACGUCAGUGCGUAGUAACCACGGAAACAAGCGCUGCAACGUCAUUCUUUUUUCUCCCUUCCCCUUCAGAAAUCGCCAGCCACGCAGACUGUGGCGUCACGUGCUGGGAGGAGGCAGAGGAGGUGGCCCUCAGUUGUUACAGCAGCAGUGGGAGGUGGAGCUCGGUUGUCACAGCAGCGAAGAAGGAUUUUCAGAAUGGAAUGUGAAGCUCCUUUUCCAGGUCCUAAUUGGAGGUGCUAUUUCAGAAAAAGAACAGAAUGACACAGUGGAAGAUAACAGACGUUAUCUGGAAUCCACAUAUGAGAAGGAUCAGGCACAGCCACUCCUUGCAACAUUACUAAUAUACCUUCUUCUAGGUGUCCCUGUCCCAUAUCUAUUUUCAUUGUUUGUCUUAAUCUGUGUGUUUUUCGCUCGAACAUUGGGUAUAUUUAUUCUGGAGCUUUUGUGGAGGGCUGAGGUUGUAGCAGCCAGUUUAUUUGCUAGAAUCAAAUUUAGCAAAGUCUGACAGGGCAAUAACAUAAGUCUUCUGCUGAGAGUGAUAUAAAAACUCAAGAAUUAUCCCUCUGGAUCACUUCGAGUUUGACAGAGGAGUUAGAUGCUCCUUGGGUAAAUUCACAAGUUGAACAUAAGAGACAAAUGAUGUGAUUGUCCAUAUUUUACUUGAAGGAGCGUUUGAAGUGUGAUGGUUGUGGCUGAUUCCACACCACUGCUGGCAAAAAUGCACUGAUCAUGUGGCCUACUUGUCCUCCCAGCAUCAACCCUUUGUAGGGCUAAGUUGGUGAUUGUCAGAACCAUGAUCACAUACCCAUAUUAUUGGUACCCGAUCAAGAUAGUACUUGUGUUAGGAGCAGCUACAUUCUGAGAACCAUCAUAGAUUAAUUCCUGCCCUUCAUAUUUUACUGAGAUUUGUAUAAUAGCAGCCAUAUCAUAUCACUCCCNAUAUCCUAUUCAUUGCCAUGUGCUACCUUCAUUCUCCUUAAUUUGUUUCCUCUUUUGUGAAGCUGUUGACAUUUCUUCAUUAAGUUAAUUGACUCUAGAUUCUAGACAUUUUGUACUGAAGACUCUAUACCUGAUUUGUAAUUGUACAAAUUUCUAUCACAUCUCCAAUUAAACAUCUCUUUCUAAUCUGGAAGCCCCAAUCUCUUUAGUAUUCUUCUUGAGGAGAAUUAUUUUGAGAGAGAGCUUAAUUGAUUAGAAUCCUUCCUUCCCCCCCCCACUGUCUAAUUCCAGGAGGGAACUGGCGGUGGAGUUCAGUGGGUCACACCAAUCUGGACUUGCAAGUUUUUAAAACAAUUUAAAAUGUC